rnacentral:rRNA from 1 species
UCCUCCCUCUUUCUUCGUGCUUAACACAUGCAAGUCGUACGGUAAGGCCCUUUCGGGGGUACACGAGUGGCGAACGGGUGAGUAACACGUGAGUAACCUGCCCACAACUUUGGGAUAACGCUAGGAAACUGGUGCUAAUACUGGAUAUGUGCUCCUGCUGCAUGGUGGGGGUUGGAAAGCUCCGGCGGUUGUGGAUGGACUCGCGGCCUAUCAGCUUGUUGGUGGGGUAGUGGCCUACCAAGGCGGCGACGGGUAGCCGGCCUGAGAGGGUGACCGGCCACAUUGGGACUGAGAUACGGCCCAGACUCCUACGGGAGGCGGCAGUGGGGAAUAUUGCACAAUGGGCGCAAGCCUGAUGCAGCAACGCCGCGUGCGGGAUGACGGCCUUCGGGUUGUAAACCGCUUUCAGCAGGGACGAAGCUUUUUGUGACGGUACCUGCAGAAGAAGCACCGGCUAACUACGUG